GUAGUAUAUUUGGAUAGUUUUAUCUAGGGCUGCUUUUGUGACUUCAAAACAACGCAAGGCAACUAUUUCACCCCUGUCCUUCGCGGCUUUGUGGAUCUAUCAGCAUGUAUCGAUGUGCAGUGUUUUCCCCGGCGCCGAUUUACCAUUUCGAGGUUUUUUAGCCACUUCCUCAAAAGGAUGUCCAUUGGUCGAAGUCAACGAAAAGCUCUCAAUCAAGAUUGCUGACCUGACGAAGAUCUCGAAAGAGGAAUCUGUUAAAAUACGUACAUGCUGUGCUAAUAAAUGCUUCUAGCAAUUUUAGCAAUUUUA